rnacentral:rRNA from 1 species
AUUGAACGCUGGCGGCAUGCCUUACACAUGCAAGUCGAACGGUAACAGGUCUUCGGAUGCUGACGAGUGGCGAACGGGUGAGUAAUACAUCGGAACGUGCUUAGUAGUGGGGGAUAACUACUCGAAAGAGUGGCUAAUACCGCAUGAGAUCUACGGAUGAAAGCAGGGGAUCGCAAGACCUUGUGCUACUAGAGCGGCCGAUGGCAGAUUAGGUAGUUGGUGGGAUAAAAGCUUACCAAGCCGACGAUCUGUAGCUGGUCUGAGAGGACGAUCAGCCACACUGGGACUGAGACACGGCCCAGACUCCCACGGGAGGCAGCAGUGGGGAAUUUUGGACAAUGGGCGCAAGCCUGAUCCAGCAAUGCCGCGUGCAGGAUGAAGGCCUUCGGGUUGUAAACUGCUUUUGUACGGAACGAAAAGCCCUGGGUUAAUACCCUGGGGUCAUGACGGUACCGUAAGAAUAAGCACCGGCUAACUACGUGCCAGCCGCCGCGGUAACAC